UACGUAGGGUGCGAGCGUUAAUCGGAAUUACUGGGCGUAAAGGGUGCGCAGGCGGUUAUAUAAGACAGAUGUGAAAUCCCCGGGCUCAACCUGGGAACUGCAUUUGUGACUGCAUAGCUAGAGUACGGUAGAGGGGGAUGGAAUUCCGCGUGUAGCAGUGAAAUGCGUAGAUAUGCGGAGGAACACCGAUGGCGAAGGCAAUCCCCUGGACCUGUACUGACGCUCAUGCACGAAAGCGUGGGGAGCAAACAGG
rnacentral:rRNA from 1 species